CCACGCCGUGAAACUGCCUGCUCCUCCACGGUGGAUUUCUCCGUGCAUCACCUAUUUCGGGUCUUCUUCUCCUGAUCGCCAUUCCCGUUUACUCGAUGCUCCUUCCGCCGCUGGCCGGGCCGUGAAUUUCUCCCCACACCCCCAGCGAUGGCUGGGAUGUUUGGGGAAGAAGGGGAGGGUCUGCUCCUGCCCAGCGCGGAAGCACUACAUGCCGGCGCCACCACACCCCAAAUCGUCCCUGCCGCUAGGGGCGCCCCGCGCUUCACUGCCUUCCCCGCGCCACCGUUGCCGGCAGCCCCCAAUUCCCGCGUCGCGGCUGAUUGGGAAGAGGCGCCGAUGCCGGAUUCGAGCGGCUGCGGCGGCAGUGGCGGUCUCUGUGGUAGGGGACGGGGCGGCGUGGCGGUCUGCCGGGGCCGGCUUAUCCCCUGCUCUAUCGCUCUUCUGGCUGCCGACUCGUGUGGCGCGCCGGCGCCUGGGCCAAAUCCGGGCGUGAGACUGCCCAGCACGCCGCCUUUGGAGGAUCUUGGUGUGCCGUAGCGUGCUUCUGAGAAAGGGGGCGAUCCCGAGCUAGCCGUGCACAGUGGCGGCUCAGCAUCGAGAUUCCCGGCUUAGGAUUUGGCUUCGUCGAGCGGGAUGAUGCCGGCGUCUGCCGACGACCCUCUCAUCAUUGGGUGGUAAUCUCGGUUCUCCGGUUUCCAUUUGCAUAUCCUGUGCUACUGCCAAUUGCGAAGGAUGAGACGAGUCGUGAUUCUUGCCUGCCGAAGAUUGGUUACUGUAACUCUGUUCAUAAUUGGCUGAGCCGACCUGGACAUCGGUUUUUUGGGAUCGUUUAUCAUUACCUUGUUAUAAUAAUAAAUCUACUCCAGAUGUGUGCUCUAACUUGUGGAAUUGUGGAGAUAUCCGCUUUCACUUGUGAUGUGUGCUGAUAUAUAGCUCAGCAAUGGAGCACGGGCCACCACUGAACGUCACCAUAUUAGGACGCCUACACCCCUCCUCCGUUCCCUUUGUACCUUCUCACCGUACGACCUCCCUGGGCUGCCUCACUACCUUCUCCACCUCCACGAGCUGUGCGGUUGAGUUGUUCUUCUUCCGCGGUGAGCUUUUUACUGCUAAUCGAUUGUGUGGUGAACCAGCGACUGCAGCCCUCUCCUACACGCUGCUGCUGCUGCUUUUUCUCGCACGAGCGUUGUGUAAUUGUUGUGUACAAGUGUAUUGCUGAUAAGUUAUCUAAAAAUUAAUUAAUGGACAAAGCCUCCUUCCGUGUGACAACCUCUGAAAACCAGCAAAAAUGAUGCUGCACUUUUUUACUAAUUCAUCUGUAGUAAAAGUAAGUGUAUGAUUGUUGCAUUGCUCUGACCAUAUAUCCAACAUGACAGAGGUUUACGGUGACCUGACCGUUGACUACUUGAAGAAGAUGUUCCACCAACUGUCGUUGCUCUAGGACUAUGAGUACAUCUACAUUUCUUUUCUUUUUACAGCUUGUGUACUUCUCAAGUUAAAUUUGAACUGUUUGCAGCAAACAUUCUUUUGCUACUGAUGCGGAACUUCCUAUUUAGUUAUGUCAGGCAACUCCUUUCAUGAUAAUUGAUAUUUGUUGACCUGCUUGAUAACCUGACAUGAGCCUUUUAUGAACUUGACCUGCUGACAUGAAGCUUAAGAGAGGUAAAAUUAUAUCAUGUUCAUAGAGUCGGCAGCAGUUCAACAACUUGACCUGCCGACAUGAACCUUUACAAGCCAACAGUGUAUAUUUCAGUUACUUCUAAGUUUGAAUGAGAUUCCGUGUUAGUUCCUUCAUUCAAAGCAGGUGCAUUUUUUUCAGGUUGUGGUCUUUUUGCUGAUUGAUGUACUGAUAGGUGUUGUGACCGAUUGGAGGCACAAACUUCACAUUUGCUGGGAUGUAUGAGUUGCAGUUGCUCUUAUUACAACACUUCACAACAAUGCAACUUGCUUUUGUUAGCAUUUUUUCUGGAAGAAUUGGUAUUUUUUUUUGGGAGAAUUCUGGAAGAAUUGGUAGUGCAUGUCUGAAAUUGCUAUUUGCAAAUAAGGACAAGAGUGUUUUUAUUCUUAGAUAAUUGAUAUUUGGCAGGGAUUCCCUGCUUAAAGCUCAGUCUACUAUUAAAAUAAGGGAUUCAAAUUUAUAUCAGGUUUUGCUUCCUCUUAAAAUCUAUCUGUGAGAGAUCGUGCAAUGGAAAGUUACAAGAUAAGUCAGUGGAGGCAAAUUAACAAAGCAAAAUAUCUUUUGAUCCUCCGAGAUAAGUCAGUGGGUAUAUGAACUUCUCUUUGUUUCUCACCUGAAAGUUACAGUGUGAUUCUUAAAUUAACUGGAGCUUACUUCUUAUUAUUUACUUAUUAGUUCAUCACGUGUUACUUUUGUUUGUAUUCCCUGUGAAAAUUUUGGUCGGCAUGGCACAUGAUGAAUGCUUUUGUCAUAUUUAUCUUUUUAUUUGCAUUUACUUUUUAUUCCAUGCAUUAGUCAUUUACUCUGUACAUCUGUGUUCAUGUACAAGAUGCAAAAAUGCGGCUCUGUAAUUUUUCCAUGCACUCUCAAUUGCUACCAUACCAAAUGAUUUGAUAGCAGUAACUGGUGGUGCCUGUCGAUGAGUUGAUAUCCAUGUUCUUCUUUUCUCUAGAGCACUUCUAUUUGUAGGAUAUAUCUUCAUGGCUUUUCGUGCGAGUUCCAUUGGUAUUUGUUGAUUUAAGGCAUACUUAAUCAAUCUGAUGAGAACUUUAGUCGGGACAGAUGGAUUUUAGUGAACUUGCAGAAUUAGUAUCAUACAACCUUUUUAAUAAUUACUCAAGUGAUCAUUUUCCUAAUCAUGUGUAGUCAUUAACUUUUUAGUAACUUCUCGAGUGAUUAUUUUACUGAUUAUAUGUAGUCAUUUACUUGAGAUACUUUUUUCCAUCAGGAUCUUAUGAAGAAGGAUCCAUUUAAUGGCGUAGAGGUUGAAGCAUCAGGGUGCAAUGGACACCAGGUAGAUAACCAUCCUAUGCUUGAAAGGAAAUCUAAAUCGAUACCUGAAGAUUGUGAACGAAAACAGUAAGUUCAGAUAAAGCCAAUGAUAGGGGCAAUCAUUGGACCAUUCGAGAGAUGUCUCAUUGCUUUGGCUUUCAUUAAAGGUAUCCUCUAAUUGGUGACCAGUUGCUAUCCGUUAUUAUCUUACUACAUAGCAUUGUGUUGUAUAUAGCUUUCUACACAGCGAACUGGUGUUCAAAUUACAUAAUUCUAUCAGGAAUUGUUGAUGCUAGCUUCCAAGAAAAACAUACAUAUAUUUUGUUCACAUUAUGUUGAGAUGAUCUCAACAAGGGAGAUGUGUUUCAUGCCACUGCAAUUAGAUAAUUUUUAACUACAGAUACAUUCUGCAAUAUAUUCUAAACAUGUAGUUAGGAAUUUUAUGUGUUGGUUUGACAAGCAAUAAAGGAAAGUGGCUUAUUAGCAUUUUUUCUCAAGCAUAUAUGAGCAUGGAGGAACCAUGCUGGAAAUAAUUGUCCUUAAUGAUAUUUAGAACCUGCCUUUUAGCUCACCUUAGCAUUUGAAAGGGCAAUCGGAUUAUAGUAUUCAUGUAUGUCACAUGUCACAUAAUUAUGUAAGAAUGAUGUUGGCGGCCAUGUGUCACCUGAUUAUGGUAUCCGAAUCAGUGUGCUUUUCUAUGAUACGCUGCCGUUCACUUAAAUAUGCUACCUCUUA